GAGGUGCUUCAUUUCUCAUUGUGGAAAACAAAGUAAAAUUGGCCACUAGGUGAUGUAUGAAGAAAUAAGAGAAGAGCUUUCUGAACAAGUGAUUGGGGUUGCUGUGAUGCCCUGGAUUUGAUUGGAUAUUGACUUUAAGUGUGUGUUGUGUGGGAGUUUACUGGGCUGAAGUUAUUCUUUCUGCAUAUGUCAGCAACAUGACUGGAUGUAUUGUUUUGAUGUGUACUUCAGGGUUUGAUCAACCAUUGAGACAGAGUAAAAUUGGGCACAAACCACAAAGUGAUAUCGGGGUAAUAUUGUGGGAAGAAUUAAAUUUGGCAGCCAUUCUACAGGAACUAGCUUGUUGUGCAGGAGCCCUAUCAUUCAGUCAGGGGAAUUAGCACAUAUGUCUGGAAGCUUCAUUCCAUUAUUAUAUAUAUCUGUAUAUAUAUAUAUAUAUAUGUAAACAAUUUUCUGGAAUUGGCUUACAAGGUGAAGGCGAGGCCUUGUUUGAACCAAGCUAAAUGAGAAAGAUCAACGCUUUUAAGCGUGCACUAGCUCUCUGCAUGCUUCUCUUGAAUGAUGGAGGUUGAAGCAAGAAGCAAAGCAGGGUAUCGGAGAGUUGGAUUGGCCACUGAUAUUUGUGCCCUCACUAGAGAGGAUUGCCAAAAGAUUUGUAGAUACUGGGAAUUCAUCAGUGUCUCAUCUUACCACAAAGAUGCAAAAGAGGAUCCAUUUCA